rnacentral:lncRNA from 1 species
CUCUCUACAGGAUUUGGGAGACAUGGUGGGCCCAUCACAGGACCGGUGGACAGGCUCAACCACUUCCGAGUGGAAAUUUCCUUCACUUGGGAAGGAACCAAUUACAAUAUCGGGCUGUUUGAGGAUGUGAGAAGUUUGAUGUUUAGACGUGGAUCUUUGAAUUCUGACAGAUCUGACUAUUUUGCUGCAUGGGGAGCCUGGGUCUUCUCCUCUGGCA